AUUGAACGCUGGCGGCAUGCCUUACACAUGCAAGUCGAACGGCAGCACGGGUGCUUGCACCUGGUGGCGAGUGGCGAACGGGUGAGUAAUACAUCGGAACAUGUCCUGUAGUGGGGGAUAGCCCGGCGAAAGCCGGAUUAAUACCGCAUACGAUCUACGGAUGAAAGCGGGGGACCUUCGGGCCUCGCGCUAUAGGGUUGGCCGAUGGCUGAUUAGCUAGUUGGGGGGGUAAAGGCCUACCAAGGCGACGAUCAGUAGCUGGUCUGAGAGGACGACCAGCCACACUGGGACUGAGACACGGCCCAGACUCCUACGGGAGGCAGCAGUGGGGAAUUUUGGACAAUGGGCGAAAGCCUGAUCCAGCAAUGCCGCGUGUGUGAAGAAGGCCUUCGGUUUGUAAAGCACUUUUGUCCGGAAAGAAAUCCUUGGCCCUAAUACGGUCGGGGGAUGACGGUACCGGAAGAAUAAGCACCGGCUAACUACGUG
rnacentral:rRNA from 1 species